rnacentral:rRNA from 1 species
GACGAACGCUGGCGGUGUGCUUAAUACAUGCAAGUCGAACGGAUUUUUUUUCACUGUUGCUUGCUACACCGAUAGAACAUGAGUGGCGAGCGGUUGAGUAACACCUGGCUCACCUGCCCAUCACCGGGGGCUAAUACUUGGAAACAGGUGCUAAUACUGCAUAAAUCCAUUUACCGCGUGUUAGUAGGGAGAUAGGCGCUUUUGCGCCACUGAUGGCAGGAAUCGCGGUGCAUUAGCUAGUUGGUGGGGUACCGGCCUACCAUGUGGGGGAUGCAUAGCCGACCAAAGAAGGUAUUCGGAGACACUGUGACAGAGACACGGCCCAGACUGGUACGGGAGGAAGCAGUAGAGAAUCUUCGGCGGUGGACGCAAGUCUGACCGAGCAACGCCGCGAGGGUGAAGAAGGUAUUCGGGUCGUAAAGCACUGUUGUUAGGGAAGAACAAGGAUUUGUGUGAAAAGUGCAUCCCUUGACGGUAUCUAACCAGAAAGCCACGGCUAACUACGUG